rnacentral:rRNA from 1 species
ACAGGGGCAUAACACUGAGAAAUUGGUACUAAUUCCCCAUAAUAUUCGGAGAGGCAUCUCUCCGGGUUGAAAACUCCGGUGGUUAUAGAUGGACAUGCGUUGUAUUAGCUAGUUGGUGAGGUAACGGCUCACCAAGGCAACGAUACAUAGGGGGACUGAGAGGUUAACCCCCCACACUGGUACUGAGACACGGACCAGACUCCUACGGGAGGCAGCAGUGAGGAAUAUUGGUCAAUGGACGCAAGUCUGAACCAGCCAUGCCGCGUGCAGGAAGACGGCUCUAUGAGUUGUAAACUGCUUUUGUACGAGGGUAAACUCACCUACGUGUAGGUGACUGAAAGUAUCGUACGAAUAAGGAUCGGCUAACUCCGUGCCAGCAGCCGCGGUAAUACGGAGGAUUCAAGCGUUAUCCGGAUUUAUUGGGUUUAAAGGGUGCGUAGGCGGUUUGAUAAGUUAGAGGUGAAAUCCCGGGGCUUAACUCCGGAACUGCCUCUAAUACUGUUAGACUAGAGAGUAGUUGCGGUAGGCGGAAUGUAUGGUGUAGCGGUGAAAUGCUUAGAGAUCAUACAGAACACCGAUUGCGAAGGCAGCUUACCAAACUAUAUCUGACGUUGAGGCACGAAAGCGUGGGGAGCAAACAGGAUUAGAUACCCUGGUAGUCCACGCAGUAAACGA